UGCAGUCGAGCGGAACGAGUUAUCUGAACCUUCGGGGAACGAUAACGGCGUCGAGCGGCGGACGGGUGAGUAAUGCCUAGGAAAUUGCCCUGAUGUGGGGGAUAACCAUUGGAAACGAUGGCUAAUACCGCAUAAUGCCUACGGGCCAAAGAGGGGGACCUUCGGGCCUCUCGCGUCAGGAUAUGCCUAGGUGGGAUUAGCUAGUUGGUGAGGUAAUGGCUCACCAAGGCGACGAUCCCUAGCUGGUCUGAGAGGAUGAUCAGCCACACUGGAACUGAGACACGGUCCAGACUCCUACGGGAGGCAGCAGUGGGGAAUAUUGCACAAUGGGCGCAAGCCUGAUGCAGCCAUGCCGCGUGUGUGAAGAAGGCCUUCGGGUUGUAAAGCACUUUCAGUCGUGAGGAAGGUGGUGUUGUUAAUAGCUGUAUUAUUUGACGUUAGCGACAGAAGAAGCACCGGCUAACUCCGUGCCAGCAGCCGCGGUAAUACGGAGGGUGCGAGCGUUAAUCGGAAUUACUGGGCGUAAAGCGCAUGCAGGUGGUUUGUUAAGUCAGAUGUGAAAGCCCGGGGCUCAACCUCGGAAUUGCAUUUGAAACUGGCAGACUAGAGUACUGUAGAGGGGGGUAGAAUUUCAGGUGUAGCGGUGAAAUGCGUAGAGAUCUGAA
rnacentral:rRNA from 1 species